UUUCUUUCAAUCACUUGUUAAUUUGUUUUAUUUAGGUCUAAUUUUUAAUUCAUUUGCACAUUCAGUAUAUCCCUUCUUAUAAUUAAAUAUUAACUAUCUUGUGCAGAAGUUAUUGAUAGUAUAUAAGAUGGUCUCCCAUGAGUAUUAAUUGUAGACUGUAACAGUAACAUACUGUACAUGCCAUAAACAUUUGUAACUGGUCAGAGUGAGUGGUUGGUCAAGUGCAACUAAUUACUUUCUCCCUGCUGUUUACAUAAUGACCAAUGUCAAACUCACCUAUCUAAUAUAAAGGAAAGUGUGAGAUAAGUGGGGUUUACAACAUGUAAUCUAAUAUCCUGAACCAAUCUGGUAUCAGGAUCUGAUCUCAGAAAAUUCAAAUAUUACUCAGGAAGUUCAUUUGGACCUCAGUGCUUAUAACAUUAGGAGUAGAGUUAAACAUGUGACUUAAGUGCCAUUUAGAUGAAACAACUUAAUAAAAUUUAAUGUGAACUUUAAUAAAAUUAUAAUGGGACAUUAAAUGAGUUCUUCAUUCAGAUGGAAAUGGAAAUUUACUAAUGUUCAAUGGAAUAAUGGAAAACUUACAAUGCCCACAGGUACCAUAGAAAGUUUCAAAUUAUAAUGAUGACGAAGAAGAAGAAAAUUGAGUUGAUAACAGAAAUAAUUGAUGUGUGUACAACAGGCUUUAAAUGAUAUGGAUAGUUGUGUGCCACAGUGGAGCCAUUCUGAAAGACUGCAUCUGUAAAGGACAUGAUUUAUCAUAUUACAACAUGGAUACUUAUUUGGAAAAAAAAAAAAAAACAGUUAUCUUAAAUAAAUAUUUUGUUUUAUAUUUUCUCAGCUUGGUAGACAUUUAUCAUUUUUUGUAUUUGUGCAAUAGAAUAAUGUUUGUUAAGAUCUCUAAUGUAAAUCUAGAAAUAUUAGUUGAAAUGAAUAAAUUAAUUCUAUUAAAUAUUAGUUUAUUAAAAUAUUAUACCUUAUUACAUGACAAUUAAAAUUUUUUAUUUGUUACAAGGCGGAAAUUUUUCCGCCUAGGAUUUUUCCUGCGGAAUCCGCUUAAGGUAGGCGGAAUCCGCCUAAGGUAGGCAGAAUCCGCCUAAGGUAGGCGGAAUCCGCCUAAG